AGAGGCAAGUUUUACGCACCCACAUCAGUUCCCAUUCAUAAGUUUAAUAUAAUUAGCUUACAAUGGGUUUUAACUUUUAAGCACCAUACUCUUUCACAUUUAUAAGCUUAUUAUGACUAGCUUAACCGAGGCAUUUGUAUAGAUAAUCCAGAACCAAGUAUCAUUAUGCACCACACUCUUUCCCAUUCCCAAGCUUACUAAGAUUAGCUUUACAAUGGGUUUUGACUGAGACAUAUUCCCUACCACUCAUAAACCUGAAUGAGCUUAUAAAAAGUUCGGUACUAAGUAUCAUGCACCACCAAUCUACCCUUGUUUCAUUAAUAAGCUUGAAAAUAUGGAUUUGUUAACCGGACAGAGGCAUUUUUCUAGACACUUGGAACAGAGUAUCAUGCAUCUUUUCCCCAUUCAUUAGCUCUUAUUGUCCUCUUGAUGAGCUGGGGC
rnacentral:lncRNA from 1 species